rnacentral:rRNA from 1 species
AGAGUUUGAUCCUGGCUCAGAUUGAACGCUGGCGGAAUGCUUUACACAUGCAAGUCGAACGGCAGCACGGGGGCAACCCUGGUGGCGAGUGGCGAACGGGUGAGUAAUACAUCGGAACGUGCCCAAUCGUGGGGGAUAACGUAGCGAAAGCUACGCUAAUACCGCAUACGAUCUACGGAUGAAAGCGGGGGAUCGCAAGACCUCGCGCGAAUGGAGCGGCCGAUGGCAGAUUAGGUAGUUGGUGGGGUAAAGGCUCACCAAGCCAACGAUCUGUAGCUGGUCUGAGAGGACGACCAGCCACACUGGGACUGAGACACGGCCCAGACUCCAACGGGAGGCAGCAGUGGGGAAUUUUGGACAAUGGGCGAAAGCCUGAUCCAGCCAUUCCGCGUGCAGGAUGAAGGCCUUCGGGUUGUAAACUGCUUUUGGACGGAACGAAAAGCCACUUUCUAAUACAAGGUGGUCAUGACGGUACCGUCAGAAUAAGCACCGGCUAACUACGUGCCAGCAGCCGCGGUAAUACGUAGGGUGCAAGCGUUAAUCGGAAUUACUGGGCGUAAAGCGUGCGCAGGCGGUUAUGUAAGACAGAUGUGAAAUCCCCGGGCUCAACCUGGGAACUGCAUUUGUGACUGCAUAGCUAGAGUACGGUAGAGGGGGAUGGAAUUCCGCGUGUAGCAGUGAAAUGCGUAUAUAUGCGGAGGAACACCGAUGGCGAAGGCAAUCCCCUGGACCUGUACUGACGCUCAUGCACGAAAGCGUGGGGAGCAAACAGGAUUAGAUACCCUGGUAGUCCACGCCCUAAACGAUGUCAACUGGUUGUUGGGUCUUCACUGACUCAGUAACGAAGCUAACGCGUGAAGUUGACCGGCUGGGGAGUACGGCCGCAAGGUUGAAACUCAAAGGAAUUGACGGGGACCCGCACAAGCGGUGGAUGACGUGGUUUAAUUCGAUGCAACGCGAAAAACCUUACCCACCUUUGACAUGUACGGAAUUUGCCAGAGAUGGCUUAGUGCUCGAAAGAGAACCGUAACACAGGUGCUGCAUGGCUGUCAUCAGCUCGUGUCGUGAGAUGUUGGGUUAAGUCCCGCAACGAGCGCAACCCUUGUCAUUAGUUGCUACAUUUAGUUGGGCACUCUAAUGAGACUGCCGGUGACAAACCGGAGGAAGGUGGGGAUGACGUCAAGUCCUCAUGGCCCUUAUAGGUGGGGCUACACACGUCAUACAAUGGCCGGUACAAAGGGCUGCCAACCCGCGAGGGGGAGCUAAUCCCAUAAAACCGGUCGUAGUCCGGAUCGCAGUCUGCAACUCGACUGCGUGAAGUCGGAAUCGCUAGUAAUCGUGGAUCAGAAUGUCACGGUGAAUACGUUCCCGGGUCUUGUACACACCGCCCGUCACACCAUGGGAGCGGGUUCUGCCAGAAGUAGUUAGCCUAACCGCAAGGAGGGCGAUUACCACGGCAGGGUUCGUGACUGGGGUGAAGUCGGAACAAGGUAGCCGUAUCGGAAGGUGCGGCUG